rnacentral:rRNA from 1 species
UCCAGACUCCUACGGGAGGCAGCAGUGGGGGAUAUUGCACAAUGGGGGGAGCCCUGAUGCAGCGACGCCGCGUGGGUGAAGGAGCGUUUCGGCGCGUAAAGCCCUAUCGGCAGGGAAGAAGGAGGACGGUACCUGACUAAGAAGCCCCGGCUAACUACGUGCCAGCAGCCGCGGUAAUACGUAGGGGGCAAGCGUUAUCCGGAUUUACUGGGUGUAAAGGGGGCGCAGACGGCAGCGCAAGCCAGGAGUGAAAGCCCGGGGCCCAACCCCGGGACUGCUCUUGGAACUGCGCGGCUGGAGUGCAGGAGGGGCAGGCGGAAUUCCUGGUGUAGCGGUGAAGUGCGUAGAUAUCAGGAGGAACACCGGUGGCGAAGGCGGCCUGCUGGACUGCGACUGACGUUGAGGCCCGAAAGCGUGGGGAGCAAACAGGAUUAGAUACCCUCGUA